AUGACGACGACGGAGACGGCGACGGCGACGGCGGCGACGGCGAGGGAGCCGCGCGAGGCGUCCCGGCGGGAGGGCCGCGACUCGCACGGCAGGCGCCCGCACUCCUCGUCCAGGUCGCGCCGGGACGACCCCAGCCCGAGGAGGCGGAGAGACGACAGGAGGCACGAGUCCGACAGGAGCCAGCACAGGCGUCGGCCCGAGGAGGCCGCCGAUGAUGCCGGCAACCGUGAUGAGAGGAGGAACAGGCACUUGCAGGACGCGAAGGGGCGGAGCGACGGUCCUGAUCCGGGGCGCGGGGAGGGGAAGCCGCCGCCGGGCGACGCCAAGGAGGACCCUCCCGCGAGGCACGAGAGGUCUCCCAGGGGAACCAAGCGGUUCUCCGAGACGAGAGAGGCCUGGCGGCCUAGAUCUUCGUUCUUUCAGCAUGAUGAGCGUGAACGUGCUGGGCAAGGUGGUCGACGCUAUGGUCGCCAAGAUUAUGGAAGACAAAGGGAUCAAAAUGAGCAUCUCGAUGAUAGAGAUAGACACAGGUCUGAGGGACAUGGUUUGCAGGAAAAGUUUGGGCAGCCUCAACAACACAGUGAUGUUGAUUCUACAUGGAAGCACGAUGGGUUUUUCAAGUUGCAGGAAGACGCUUCGGUUGCCAAAAGGAGGCCAGGAUUUAAGGAGAUGAGAAUGCCACUGGAGGGGCAAGAAUCAGCUCCUGCUGUUACAGAACCGAAUUCAAGAUCACGUAUACCUGAUCAACCUGGGUGGACCUCUGGGAUGGGAGAAGAAAGGAGAAACUACCAUUCACGGGAAUUCAUAAGGCCUGAUGAUCGAGAUACCAGGAGGGGAUUUUCUGAUUACAGGGGUGCUGGUCAGAGAAAUGGCUAUGAUCCAAGAGGGCGUUUUGCUGGCAGAGGGGGAAGGGGCAGAGACAGGUUUGACUACCAGUAUGGUGGAAGAAGCAACAUGCACGAGGAGGCCGGUGAUCAUCAGACAGAAAAAUGGAAGCAUGACCUUUACGAUGAGACGAACAGUACCCCAGCUCCGAUGACUGAAGAAGAGCAGAUUGCAAAAGUCGAAGCACUGUUGGCGCUGUAG
rnacentral:rRNA from 1 species